GUUGAAACACCAGCUCUCGUAUAAUCAUCAAAGCUAAGCAACAUCUGGCCUGGUCAGUACCUAGAUGGGUGACCACUUGGGAGCACCAGAUGCUGUAA